CCUGACGCCGAGCCUGACGUGCAAUGCUUUGUGUCAACGUUUUGUUCGUUCGGCUCGCGUUAAGCAGGUG
ensembl:miRNA xtr-mir-375 xtr-mir-375